rnacentral:rRNA from 1 species
GAUGAACGCUGGCGGCGUGCCUAAUACAUGCAAGUCGAGCGAACAGACGAGGUGCUUGCUCCUCUGACGUUAGCGGCGGACGGGUGAGUAACACGUGGAUAACCUACCUAUAAGACUGGGAUAACUUCGGGAAACCGGAGCUAAUACCGGAUAAUAUAUUGAACCGCAUGGUUCAAUAGUGAAAGACGGUUUUGCUGUCACUUAUAGAUGGAUCCGCGCCGCAUUAGCUAGUUGGUAAGGUAACGGCUUACCAAGGCAACGAUGCGUAGCCGACCUGAGAGGGUGAUCGGCCACACUGGAACUGAGACACGGUCCAGACUCCUACGGGAGGCAGCAGUAGGGAAUCUUCCGCAAAGGGCGAAAGCCUGACGGAGCAACGCCGCGUGAGUGAUGAAGGUCUUCGGAUCGUAAAACUCUGUUAUUAGGGAAGAACAAAUGUGUAAGUAACUAUGCACGUCUUGACGGUACCUAAUCAGAAAGCCACGGCUAACUACGUG